rnacentral:rRNA from 1 species
AAGAAAAUCCCCUCCCCAAACUCCCGACACGACCCGCGCUGCUCCCCUGCUCUCCGCGUGUCCUCCUCCGCCGCCGCAGCUUCCUCCUCCGCCGCUCACACCUGCCUCGCGCAGCCCCCCUAGCCCCCUUGCCUACCUCCCAAAUCUCCCCUCUUUCACCACAAAAUCGGUUCUUCUCCUCCCGUCGUGCCUCCUGCUCGCGCGCGGCGACGGUACGUCCUCCUCGUCGCUCUCGUCGCCCCCGUCGCCGGAGGAGGUGCGGGGCAGGCAGAAGUGGCUCGCGUUGUGCCUGCGCUACCUCGGGUGCAAGUGGGCCGCCGUGUCGCGGGCCUACGCGCCGGUCGCCGCCUCGGCCGUUCGCCCAUCCGCGGAGGCCUGCGUAUUGGUGCCCUAGGCUCUGUUGAUUUACAAGGUCAUGUUGGUUUCUUCAGUGGGGAGAGGCGAGAAGAAUUGUUGCAUCUGGAAAUGGAGGUCAACACCAUCUACAGGACAAUGAAGCAAAUAAUCUACUGCAAUUUGAUCUACUAGGACAUGAUCAAUUGUGCUUCAAAUUACAAAGCAAGCAAGAUUCGUCACUGGAGAUUAAAAAUCAAGGAGCCCUGUACUUCUUCUCACCGACAACAGCACGAGCAGGGGACCUCCGGGCGGCAACACACGAGCAGGGGACCUCCGGGCGGCAACACGAGCAGGGCACCAACAACAACUUGCAGAGGAGCAGCAGAAGGAGCUCGAGCUUGAUGUCCAGGACGAGCUUGAGGGAGCUCGAGGUCCAGGACGAGCUUGAGGGAGCUCGAGGUCCAGGCGUGGCGGGAACCCGCGGUUGAGGCGCGUGCAGGUCCUGGGCGGCGACGGCGCAUAUCCUGGGUGGUGGGAGGGGAUAUCGGACACGCAGGCCUGGCGACGGCGGCCCAGGUCCUGGGUGGCAGAGGAGCAUGUCCUGGGCGACGGCGAAGCAAGCAAUUCGGUGGCGCAGAUCCUGGGCGACGGAGCAGCACGUACUGGAGCAAGCAAUUGGGCGAAGCAGGACCUGGGCGUUGGAGGAGUGUCAGGCCUGCUCUAUUGUUGACACUAGAAAUGCAACAGUAGCGAUUCAGUUUGCCCAGCCCAACGUCAGCCGUCGAUCUACCAUCCAAGGGACGCGGAAGAGUGGUACCGCUUCGCGGCCCAGAUCGUCGUCACAGCCGUUGAUCUGAAAACGGACGGUUGCUACCGUUUCACUUACUUUUUGAAAGUUACCGCAUGUUGUCCUUUUACUGCUCAUGUCGCUGUCGCUCCUUUUUACCUCGCUAAAACCCUUUUAAGCUCGCCUCCGGAUUGUGGAGAGGGCAUCUUGACUUGUAUCUGGGCUUGGCCCUCGAGCCGCCGUGUUCCGGCUGGCCACAAACCCUAGAACUCCAGCUUGAGUGAAUGAAAAUUGAUCCCCAAAAUUGCCCCACAAUUGAGUGAUUUUCC